AAGGAAGAGAUAGUAAUGGUAGUGGACACACAAGAGUCGUGGAAGAGAGUUCUGGAAAACAGAUCGAAAGGAGCGCUUGCUCCUUCACGUCGCGUGUGUCAGCGCCUCUUGGCAGCGGGGUGACAGUGACGAACGUCGUGAAGGACUCCGUAUACGCGCGUGUCCUGAGACACCAGACUGGGCCCACCUUCUAGUCGAGGCACCAGGCGCUGAUUGGGCACUAACGGGGCCCAUAACUCAGAAGAAGUGCUUUUCUGUAGGAGACGCUCGUGCUCUGGAAAAUGACCGGUCCACGGCCACCCCGAACUGAGCCUGUUCUCACGCGCCUGUGCAUCCCUCCACGUCGCUGCCCUGCCUCCUGCCUGCAGCUGGCUCGCUCUCUCCCUCUACCCAGAGGUGACCUUGUAAGCAUGUGGCCUGGCUGGUACCAGACGGAGGAGGACUAUGUGAAUGACACCAGUCCCACUUGAAGGAGAAAUAAACCUAUACUGUGUUGCGAGAGACCAUGAAAGAGAAUUGUCCACCGUAACUCUCACGUAUCUCGUCUCUCAUAGUUCUGGCCUACCCCUUUCUUGCACAUAACCUUAGCCCCUAACUGUUCCUCUCUAUCCUUUCUGAUAAAAUUCAAGUUGCCCAA
rnacentral:lncRNA from 12 species